GACGAACGCUGGCGGCGCGCUUAACACAUGCAAGUCGAGCGAUGAAAUUUCGACAGAUCCCUUCGGGGUGAAGAUGAAAUGGAUUAGCGGCGGACGGGUGAGUAACACGUGAGUAACCUGCCUUUGACAUUGGGAUAGCCUCGGGAAACUGGGAUUAAUACCAAAUGACACUAACUGAUCACAUGAUCAAUUAGUCAAAGAAAUUCGGUCAAAGAUGGACUCGCGGCUGAUUAGCUAGUUGGUGAGGUAACGGCCCACCAAGGCGACGAUCAGUAGCCGGCCUGAGAGGGUGAUCGGCCACAUUGGAACUGAGACACGGUCCAAACUCCUACGGGAGACAGCAGUGGGGAAUAUUGCACAAUGGGGGAAACCCUGAUGCAGCGACGCCGCGUGAGCGAAGAAGGCCUUCGGGUCGUAAAGCUCUUUUAUGAGGGAAGAUAAUGACGGUACCUCAAGAAAAAGCCCCGGCUAACUACGUG
rnacentral:rRNA from 1 species